rnacentral:rRNA from 1 species
UACGUAGGGGGCAAGCGUUGUCCGGAAUCAUUGGGCGUAAAGCGCACGUAGGCGGCCCGGUAAGUCCGUUGUGAAAGUCAGAGGCUCAACCUCUGGAGGCCAAUGGAUACUGCCGGGCUAGAGUCCGGAAGAGGCGAGUGGAAUUCCUGGUGUAGCGGUGGAAUGCGCAGAUAUCAGGAGGAACGCCAAUGGCGAAGGCAGCUCGCUGGGACGGUACUGACGCUGAGGUGCGAAAGCGUGGGGAGCGAACAGG